rnacentral:rRNA from 1 species
AUUGAACGCUGGCGGCAGGCCUAACACAUGCAAGUCGAACGAGUGGCGGACGGGUGAGUAAUGUCUGGGAAACUGCCCGAUGGAGGGGGCUACCUACUGGAAACGGUAGCUAAUACCGAAUACCAUCGGCUGAGCCCAGAUGGGAUUAGCUAGUAGGUGGGGUAAUGGCUAACCUAGGCGCCGAUCCCUACCUGGUCUGAGCGGAUGACAGGCCACCCUGGGACUGAGCCACGGUCCAGACUCCUCGGGCGGGCAGCAGUGGGGAAUAUGGCACAAUGGACGCAAGCCUGAUGCAGACAUGCCGCGUGUAUGAAGAAGGCCUUCGGGUUGUAAAGUACUUUCAGCGAGGAGGCGUUACUCGCAGAGAAAGCACCGGCUAACUCCGUGCCAGCAGCCGCGGUAAUAC